rnacentral:rRNA from 1 species
AACGAACGCUGGCGGCAUGCCUAACACAUGCAAGUCGAACGAUUGCCUUCGGGUGAUAGUGGCGCACGGGUGCGUAACGCGUGGGAAUCUGCCCUUAGGUUCGGAAUAACAGCUGGAAACGGCUGCUAAUACCGGAUGAUAUCGCGAGAUCAAAGAUUUAUCGCCUGAGGAUGAGCCCGCGUUGGAUUAGGUAGUUGGUGGGGUAAAGGCCUACCAAGCCGACGAUCCAUAGCUGGUCUGAGAGGAUGAUCAGCCACACUGGGACUGAGACACGGCCCAGACUCCUACGGGAGGCAGCAGUGGGGAAUAUUGGACAAUGGGCGCAAGCCUGAUCCAGCAAUGCCGCGCGAGUGAUGAAGGCCCUAGGGUUGUAAAGCUCUUUUACCCGGGAAGAUAAUGACUGUACCGGGAGAAUAAGCCCCGGCUAACUCCGUG